UCACUUCCUGCCUGCAAGGAAGUGGCCCCGAAUCUCCAUCCUUCUGUGAUGUUCUAUGCCUCAGCCAGCCUGCUCUUCACACUCUUCAGGAUUUUCGUCAGGCUCGUGCUCAACU
rnacentral:SRP_RNA from 1 species